rnacentral:rRNA from 1 species
UACGGGGGGGGCAAGCGUUGUUCGGAAUUACUGGGCGUAAAGGGUUCGUAGGUGGCUUGCUAAGUCAGACGUGAAAUCCCUCAGCUUAACUGGGGAACUGCGUCUGAGACUGGUGAGCUUGAGUGCAGGAGAGGAACGCGGAAUUCCAGGUGUAGAGGUGAAAUUCGUAGAUAUUCGCAAGAACACCAGUGGCGAAGGCGGCUCACUGGCCCGGUACUGACGCUGAGGUGCGAAAGCGUGGGGAGCAAACAGG